GCUCGGCCGAAAAAUCGCUUCAGCGGUUACAAAGCGCCAAUUAUAUAUACACGAAGAGUUGACUUCCACAUCGGAAAUCAACGCCAUACAUAAAACCAUGAACCCUCCAUGACGUGGCGAACUUUGCUUCAACGCUGAAAUAGUGUCGAGAAGUUUUGAAAGCUUAAAAUCGUUCAAAGCUGUCGGUAUCGAUGGGAUUUUUCCGAAGCCUGGAGUAAAUCAGUUGACACCGUUGGUAAAUUCAUCGCAAAACAAUUACAACGCGCCAAGUUUGCAGCUACAGAAUAUCUGAUCACUUGAUCGUGGGUAUGUAGGUAGAAGGAAAAGCGGAAAACAACAAUAAGUAAAAGCGGCACACAUGUAGCUUAAUGGAAUAACCAUUGGCUCGUGCUGUGGGCAUCUCAAGUUCGAAUCCUAUUCGAACAAAGAUGUCUGGAAAAAGAAGUCUGAUGAGGAAAAUGUGAUGGUUUCCGAAAUAGCAGCUAUAACUUCUACCGUCCUAAACUAUUAUUGU